rnacentral:rRNA from 1 species
CCCCUUCGGGGGAUAAGUAGAGUGGCGUCCGGGUGAGUAACACGUAGGUAAUCUACCUUCGGGUGGGGAAUAACCCAGGGAAACUUGGGCUAAUACCGCAUAAUGCAGCGGCACCACAUGGUGACAGUUGUUAAAGCGGGGGAUCUUCGGAUCUCGCGCCUGAAGAGGAGCCUGCGGCAGAUUAGCUAGUUGGUAGGGUAACGGCUUACCAAGGCGACGAUCUGUAGCCGGCCUGAGAGGGCGGUCGGCCACACUGACACUGACAUACGGGUCAGACUCCUACGGGAGGCAGCAGUCGGGAAUUUUGGGCAAUGGGCGAAAGCCUGACCCAGCAACGCCGCGUGAAGGAUGAAAUCCUUCGGGAUGUAAACUUCGCAAGAAUGGGAAGAAUUAGUAGGGGCUAAUACCCUCUAUGAUGACGGUACCAUUUGUAAGCUCCGGCUAACUCCGUGCCAGCAGCCGCGGUAAUACGGGGGGAGCAAGCGUUGUUCGGAUUUACUGGGCGUAAAGGGCGCGUAGGCGGUCAGCACAAGUCAGUUGUGAAAUCUCCGGGCUUAACUCGGAAAGGUCAACUGAUACUGUGCGACUAGAGUGCGGAAGGGGCAACUGGAAUUCUCGGUGUAGCGGUGAAAUGCGUAGAUAUCGAGAGGAACACCUGCGGCGAAGGCGGGUUGCUGGGCCGACACUGACGCUGAUGCGCGAAAGCCAGGGGAGCGAACGGGAUUAGAUACCCCGGUAGUCCUGGCCUUAAACGAUGGAUGCUUGGUGUCUGGAGUUUUAUAGUCUCCGGGUGCCGUAGCUAACGCGUUAAGCAU